rnacentral:rRNA from 1 species
GCUGGCGGCAUGCCUUACACAUGCAAGUCGAACGGUAACAGGUCUUCGGAUGCUGACAAGUGGCGAACGGGGGAGUAAUACAUCGGAACGCGCCCACUAAUGGGGGAUAGCUCGGCAAAAGCCGGAUUAAUACCGCAUACGCCCUGAGGGGGAAAGUGGGGGAUCGCAAGACCUCACGUUAUUGGAGCGGCCGAUGGCUGAUUAUCUAGUUGGUAGGGUAAAGGCCUACCAAGGCAACCAUCAGUACCUGGUAUGAGAGGACGAUCAGCCACACUGGGACUGAGACACGGCCCAGACUCCUACGGGAGGCACCAGCGGGGAAUUUUGGACAAUGGGGGAAACCCUGAUCCAACAAUGCCACGUGUGCGAACAACGCCUUCGGAGUUGUAAAGCACUUUUGUCAGGCAACAAAUCCUUUGGACUAAUACCCUACGGGGAUGACGGAACCUGAACAAUAUGCACCGGCUAACUACGUGCCAGCAGCCGCGGUAAUACGUAGGGUGCAAGCGUUAAUCGGAAUUACUGGACGUAAAGCGUGCGCAGGCGGUUGUGUGAAUACAGGUGUGAAAUCCCCGGGCUUAACCUGCGAAUUGCAUUUGCGACUGCGCGACUAAAGUGUGUCAGAGGCCGAUGGAAUUCCACGUGUACCAAUGAAAUGCGUAGAUAUGUGGAGGAACACCGAUGCCAAAGGCAGCCCCCUGGGAUAACACUGACGCUCAUGCAUGAAAGCGUGGGGAGCAAACAGGAUUAGAUACCCUGGUAGUGUCACGCCCUAAACGAUGUCAACUAGUUGUUGGGGAUUUAGUUCCUUGGUAAUGUAGCUAACGCGUGAAGUUGAAUGCCUGGGGAGUAGGGCGGCAAGGUUAAAACUCAAAGGAAUUGACGGGGAGCCGCACAAGCGGUGGAUGAUGUGGAUUAAUUCGAUGCAACGCGAAAAACCUUACCUACCCUUGACAUGGCAGGAACUUUCCAGAGAUGGAUUGGUGCUCGAAAGAGAACCUGCACACAGGUGCUGCAUGGCUGUGGUCAGCUCGUGUCGUGAGAUGUUGGGUUAAGUCCCGCAACGAGCGCAACCCUUGUCAUUAGUUGUUACGAAAGGGCACUUUAAUGAGACUGCCGGUGACAAACCGGAGGAAGGUGGGGAUGACGUCAAGUCCUCAUGGCCCUUAUGGGUAGGGCUUCACACGUCAUACAAUGGUCGGUACAGAGGGUUGCCAAGCCGCGAGGUGGAGCCAAUCCCAGAAAACCGAUCGUAGUCCGGAUCGCAGUCUGCAACUCGACUGCGUGAAGUCGGAAUCGCUAGUAAUCGCGGAUCAGAAUGCCGCGGUGAAUACGUUCCCGGGUCUUGUACACACCGCCCGUCACACCAUGGGAGUGGGUUAUACCAGAAGUGGAGUAGUCUAACCGCAAGGAGGACGGU